rnacentral:rRNA from 1 species
GAUGAACGCUGGCGGCGUGCCUAAUACAUGCAAGUCGAGCGAACAGACGAGGAGCUUGCUCCUUUGACGUUAGCGGCGGACGGGUGAGUAACACGUAAGUAACCUACCUAUAAGACUGGGAUAAAUUCGGGAAACCGGAGCUAAGACCGGAUAAUAUUUCGAACCGCAUGGUUCGAUAGUGAAAGAUGGCUUUGCUAUCACUUAUAGAUGGACCUGCGCCGUAUUAGCUAGUUGGUAAGGUAACGGCUUACCAAGGCAACGAUACGUAGCCGACCUGAGAGGGUGAUCGGCCACACUGGAACUGAGACACGGUCCAGACUCCUACGGGAGGCAGCAGUAGGGAAUCUUCCGCAAAGGGCGAAAGCCUGACGGAGCAACGCCGCGUGAGUGAUGAAGGUCUUCGGAUCGUAAAACUCUGUUAUUAGGGAAGAACAAACGUGUAAGUAACUGUGCACGUCUUGACGGUACCUAAUCAGAAAGCCACGGCUAACUACGUG